rnacentral:rRNA from 1 species
UAACAGGAUCCCUUAGUAACGGCGAGUGAAGCGGGAAUAGCUCAAAUUUGAAAUCUCACAGGGWACCUGUGCGAAUUGUAGUUUAGAGAAGCGUUUUCGGGGGCAGCUUGGGUACAAGUCCUUUGGGAUGAGGCAUCAUAGAGGGUGAGAAUCCCGUUUAUGACCCAAUGUCUGCUCCUAUGUGAUACGCUUUCCAAGAGUCAGGUAGUUUGGGAUUGCUGCCUAAAAUGGGUGGUAAAUACCAUCUAAAGCUAAAUAUUGGCGAGAGACCGAUAGCGAACAAGUACCGUGAGGGAAAGAUGAAAAGAACUUUGAAAAGAGAGUUAAACAGUACGUGAAAUUGCCAAAAGGGAAACGCUUGGGGCCAGUAUUGCUUGCAGGUAAUCAUCUGCAUGAUCCUGAAAAGGUUAGUGCAGUGCACUUGCUUGCAGGCAGGUCAACAUCAGUUUGGUCUGGGGUAAAAAGCCAGAGGAAGGUAGCUUGGGCUUCGGUCUGAGUGUUAUAGCCUCUGGUCAUGCCUUGGACUGGACUGAGGUCUGCAGCGUCAUUUGGAUACCCAAUCGCCUCCUGAACCUUGUUUUUAGACAGCAUGCUGACUAAGGGCAAGGCUAGGGAGCCCGGUUGGUUUAUCACACCAACGCUUAGGAUGUUGACGAAAUGGCUCCAAACGACCCGUCUUGAAACACGGACCAAGGAGUCUAACAUAUAUGCGAGUAUUUGGGUGGCAAACCCUUAUGCGAAAUGAAAGUGAACUUAGGUGGGAUCUUCGGUGCACCAUCGACCGGUCUGGAUUUUUUUGAUAGAUCUGAGUAAGAGCAUAUCUGUUGGGACCCGAAAGAUGGUGAACUAUGCCUGAAUAGGGUGAAGCCAGAGGAAACUCUGGUGGAGGCUCGUAGCGAUUCUGACGUGCAAAUCGAUCGUCAAAUUUGGGUAUAGGGGCGAAAGACUAAUCGAACCAUCAGCUCAACGGUGGUUAACAGGGACGAAAAGUACGAUCCCUAGUCCGGUGAAGGCGGGCAAGACUGUCAAAUUGCUGGGACACCCUAAAGGCGCUGGUACUAACUUGGCUUGGAAACGAGCUGAGGGUCGAGUAACUUGCUCGAGAGUGACAAUCCAGCGUAUGAUAGGUGCCUUUCAAGUACCUUGAAAUGGGCAAUCAGCAGCCAAGCUCUAAGUUAUUCUGGUCUGUUUGCAGGGCAGAAUGAUAGGAGUGCAGUUCAGAGACUAGAUGUCAGUCGGUACUCCAGGGCAAUUAAUUAUGCAUGGAGUGCUUAAGGUAUAGUCCAAUCCCAGUUGAAAGACUGGCUUCCAGACAAAGCUGUGAGGGUGCUUUCACCAUGGGCAACGUAUCA